rnacentral:tRNA from 1 species
GCGGACGUGGUGAAAUUGGUAGACACGCCAGACUUAGGAUCUGGUGCCUUACGGUGUGGAGGUUCAAGUCCUCUCGUCCGCACCA